GAUGAAGAACGCAGCGAAAUGCGAUAAGUAGUGUGAAUUGCAGAAUUCAGUGAAUCAUCGAAUCUUUGAACGCACAUUGCGCCCCUUCGUAUCCCGAGGGGCAUGCCUGUUCGAGCGUCAUUUCACCACUCAAGCCUGGCUUGGUGUUGGGCGACGUCCUCUUUGGGGACGCGCCUCGAAACGCUCGGCGGCGUGGCACCGGCUUUAAGCGUAGCAGAAUCCUUCGCUUUGGAAGUCGGGGCCCCGUCUGCCGGAAGACCUGCUCGCAAGGUUGACCUCGGAUCAGGCAGGGAUACCCGCUGAACUUAAGCAUAUCAAUAAGCGGAGGA
rnacentral:misc_RNA from 1 species